rnacentral:tRNA from 1 species
GCCGGAGUGGCGGAAUUGGCAGACGCGCGGGAUUCAAAAUCCCGAGGGGCUUAAGCCCCGUGUGGGUUCGACUCCCACCCCCGGCA